rnacentral:rRNA from 1 species
GUGAGGAAUAUUGGUCAAUGGACGGAAGUCUGAACCAGCCAUGCCGCGUGCAGGAAUAAGGUCCUAUGGAUUGUAAACUGCUUUUAUUCGGGAAUAAACCUCUUUACGUGUAGGGAGCUGAAGGUACCGAAGGAAUAAGCACCGGCUAACUCCGUGCCAGCAGCCGCGGUAAUACGGAGGGUGCAAGCGUUAUCCGGAAUCAUUGGGUUUAAAGGGUCCGCAGGCGGGCUAUCAAGUCAGAGGUGAAAUCCCACAGCUUAACUGUGGAACUGCCUUUGAAACUGAUGGUCUUGAAUUAAGUGGGCGUUGGCGGAAUAUGACAUGUAGCGGUGAAAUGCAUAGAUAUGUCAUGGAACACCGAAAGCGAAGGCAGCUAACGAUACUUAUAUUGACGCUCAUGGACGAAAGUGUGGGGAUCGAACAGGAUUAGAUACCCGGGUAGUCC